rnacentral:rRNA from 1 species
UGGCGGACGGGUGAGUAAUGUCUGGGAAACUGCCUGAUGGAGGGGGAUAACUACUGGAAACGGUAGCUAAUACCGCAUAACGUCGCAAGACCAAAGAGGGGGACCUUCGGGCCUCUUGCCAUCGGAUGUGCCCAGAUGGGAUUAGCUAGUAGGUGGGGUAAAGGCUCACCUAGGCGACGAUCCCUAGCUGGUCUGAGAGGAUGACCAGCCACACUGGAACUGAGACACGGUCCAGACUCCUACGGGAGGCAGCAG